ensembl:lncRNA
UGAUCUCUGGAGGACCCUUCCAACCCCUACGAUUCUGUGAUUCUGUGAACAGUUCAGCUUGGUUUCAAUGUCUGUAUGAGGUAUGGUGAAGACAAGUAUCAAAGCUGACUUAAUUGCAUUGCGGUGGAAGUCCUGCCCAGAUGGUAUCAAGAAAAGACCAAAUCUCUAAAAGAUCACGUUCCCCAGAUGGGUAUUGUUCAGAGAUUAUAAAACAAAAGAAAAAGAAGAAAAAAAAGUAUCUGAUGGAGUGUAGGGAAAUGCCUUAUUGGAGUGUGGUGUUCCCAAUUAUUUGACAGUGUAUUGUCAGCUAAUCAGAAAUAAGGGCACGGAACUGUAUCUCCUGUGUGAAACUUAUUAUUUACAUCUUUAUGAUUGAGAAAUAAAUGCCUUGGAGCUCACAAGCCUGUGAGCAAGACAGCUGCUGAGCUGACAGCAAGUCUUCGUCUGCCUCCUCUGCCCUGCUGCGGCCACCUCCGGCCUCACAGCAGAAACACGAAAGUCUGGGCAGGCCCUUCUCAGGCCCACUUCUAAAGCUUUCUGGGUAAGCAGGUGCACACACAGCCCGCGGAGGAGGUUGGUCUACGCCAUUUCAACCAGGGCCCGGAACCAGCCCCGCCAGGGCGGGGCAGCGGGUCACAGUUGGGCCCUUUGUGACCCAUCCCUGUGACAUCCAGGCGUAGCUGGCACCGACACGGUGGCCCCGCAGUGUCCGGCAGGACAGCGAGGUGACAGGGCAGGAGUGUGCGGGUCUGGCGAGGAGCCCCCGAGCAUAGCCCACGUCUUUUCCCUCUACCUUUUGCAGCCCCACGGCUGCCCCCUCCCCACCCUCAGUGCUUAUCCCACGGGAUGGAGAGGAAACCUCCUAGAUACCCCAGGGUGGCCUGGGCAGAGAGUGGGGCUCCCCGGAAGAGAAGAGCUCCACUGGAGCCCUACGAGGUGACCGAGGUGCAGCCACUGAGUGCUGAUGCUGACUGGCUGCCUGUGUAUGAAGUGGAAAAGGAGGCUGUUGAUUGCAUCGAAGCCUAUGUCAUCAGCAAGGAAAAGGAUCUGGUGCAGAAGAUGCAGUUCCUGAACAGUAUUUGCUCACUGUGCAGCACUGCUGGAAAGAAGGGCUUGACAGAGAGCCUGGAUGUCUUCUGUUUCCUAAACGAUCUGCCACAGAACAUCGAGGUUCUAUUGUGCGAGGAGCCCAGGGAGCAGCUGAGCACAGCACUGAGAUACCACUGCAUGAAUGCUAUUGCUGCCUUGAGUGAAGUGAACGCAAUUUCAGAGGACGAAAUACUACAUCUCUUAAAUGUGUGCUGCAAUGUCGUCUUCUACCUUCCUCCAACGAAGGUCUUGAACAUUUGCCUAUACAAUCAUACCCUGAGCGCACUGGACAACAUGCUGCAGAUCGUGGUAGACAGCCAUCCCACCACCACUGUGAAUAAUCAGCUGCAGAGUAUCUUCCAGUUGCUGCUGUCCUUCACCUACUCCGGGAUCAGAAUUGUGCGUGAGAGGGCCACGGAGCAGAUCUGGAAGCUUUGUGGUUUCAUGGCCAGCACUUUCAGACAGCAGCUGCUUAGAAGAUUCCUCGAGGCUCCUCAGACUACAAACAUCGUCCUCAAGACCCUUGAAAAGACCAUUGCUGACUGUAGCUCUGAGGACAAGGAGUAUGCCAGGAUUAUACUGGAUUUGAUUUUGGAAGACCCUGGCACCUGGCUAACAGAAGUGCCAGAGAUUUUGCAGUUCAUCCGCAGAAAGCUGAAAAGCAGCAGCGCGUCAGCUCAGGCGAUCUUCCUGUCAGUGCUUGACGUGCUGGCACGUCAGUUUCCCACGGAUGUGCUAACAAGCGUGUUGACCUAUCUACCACACAGUGACAGCACUACCCUGAAGAUCUGGAAGAUGCUGCUUACCAUGCCAGAAUCUUCAGAAAAAAUCUUGGAUGAAGUGUGCAGCGUUCUCCAGGACGAAGAGCCAUGCAGGAUCACCACAACGGGGCUGGGCUUCCUUCGUCUGACUGUGAGUUACUGGACAAGGCACUGUGCUGUCCUUCAGGGCUCUCCUUGCCCAGCUCCCUGCCUCCCCCUGCCUUCCUCCCCAGACUGGAAACUUGGGACAGGGCAGGGGCAAAGUUGGGGCUGUGGCUUGGGCUAGGGAGAGGCACGGCCUCCGCACAGGCUGAGCAGGCUGCAGGACCAGGGAGAGAAAGUCUCCAUGGCCACCCCCGUCUGGUGCCAUUUUUGUGCCAGCUUUUCAAAGGUCAAUUGCUCUUCAAAGGCAUGAGAACAAGAGGCUGUGCUGGUCCAAGGGCAGGAGGAGCAAGCCUUGUCCCUGGCAGCACAGCUUGGU